rnacentral:rRNA from 1 species
CCUACGGGAGGCAGCAGUGAGGAAUAUUUGUCAAUGGACGAGAGUCUGAACCAGCCAAGUAGCGUGAAGGAUGACUGCCCUAUGGGUUGUAAACUUCUUUUAUAUGGGAAUAAAACGUUCCACGUGUGGGAUUUUGUAUGUACCAUAUGAAUAAGGAUCGGCUAACUCCGUGCCAGCAGCCGCGGUAAUACGGAGGCGCCGAGCGUUAUCCGGAUUUAUUGGGUUUAAAGGGUGAGUAGGUGGUUUGUUAAGUCAGGUGUGAAAGUUGGCGGCUCAACCGUAAGAUUGCAGUUGAAACUGGGAGUCUAGAGUACAGGAGAGGGAGGCGGAAUUCGUGGUGUAGCAGUGAAAUGCGUAGAUAUCGCGAAGAACCCUGGUGGCGAAGGCAGCUCACUGGACAGCAACUGACGCUGAGGCUCGAAGGUGAGGGGAUCAAAAGGGAUUAGAUACCCUAGUAGUC